rnacentral:rRNA from 1 species
CCUACGGGAGGCAGCAGUGAGGAAUAUUGGGCAAUGGAGGCAACUCUGACCCAGCCAUGCCGCGUGCAGGAAGACUGCCCUAUGGGUUGUAAACUGCUUUUAUACAGGAAGAAACACACCUACGUGUAGGUGCUUGACGGUACUGUAAGAAUAAGCACCGGCUAACUCCGUGCCAGCAGCCGCGGUAA